rnacentral:lncRNA from 10 species
CCAUCAGUAGAGCAAACACACAAAUAAGGAAGACAAAGAACUCAAAUAGUACACUAUAGAAAACCACAAAGCUACAAUAAACAAUGGGAGAAAGAAAAAAACAAAGAAUAUGGGAAAAACCCAGAAAUUAAUAAAUAAAGUGACUGGUAUAAGUGCACACAUAUCAAUAAUAACCUAAUAACCUUGAGUGUAAUGUUCCCAUUUAAAAGAUAGAGGUGGGCUAAAUGGAUUAAGAAAAAAAUGAAAAUCAAAAAAGAGGAGGAGUAGCUAUACUUACAUAAAACAAUCUUUAAGUCAAAAAAUAGUAGAAAGACGGGGAGGAGCCAAGAUGGCCGAAUAGGAACAGCUCCGGUCUACAGCUCCCAGCGUGAGUGACGCAGAAGACGGGUGAUUUCUGCAUUUCCAUCUGAGGUACCAGGUUCAUCUCACCAGGGAGUGCCAGACAGUGGGCGCAGUGAAGGCAGCUGUCAUUCUGUGAGAACUCUCAAGCAGCACCAGUUCAAGAGGCCCAUGUUGCUAAGAACCAAGGCAUCUUGCUAGUGAGCAGCUGAAGCCUCCUAUCAAAGCCAUGUGAAUGAGCCACCUUAGAAGUGGAUCGUCCAACCCCAGCCAAGCCUCAGCUGACAGUGGUCCUGACUGACAUCUUAACUUCAACUUCAGAAGAGACUCUGGGCCAAAACCACCCAGUUAAACCACUUCCUAAUUUCUGACCCACAGAAACUGUGAUAUAACAAAUGUUUGCUGUUUUAAGCCACUAAUUUUGAGGAUAAUUUGUUAUGCAUCAAUGGAUAACUGACACAAUAUCACUUUGCCCAUUUAUAAAUUAUUUUUAAGUGAUUUAUAAGAGCCUUUUAUAUGUUAAAGAUAUUAAUUAAUAAUCCUUUGUCUGUUAUAAAAGUCUAAUCUAUUUCUGUUUAUUGCCUUUAUUAUAGUAAUACAAAAAAGUGUUAUAUAUAUUCAAAUAUAUUAUUCAUUUCCAUUUUCAUUUUGCCUUAUGUGUCAUAUUUAGACAUUUUUAACCUACUACAAUAUUCUCAAUAAAUAUUUACCUAUAUUUUCUUUUGUUAACUUUUUCUUUAAAGUCCCAACAUUUAAAUCAUCUGGAAUUUAUUUGGGGUUUGGUAUGUGAUGAAAAACUAACUUUUCUUUUUCUUUUUUUUGUGUUUUCACCAACUUUAUA